rnacentral:tRNA from 1 species
ACCCCCGUAGCUCAGCCCGGAGAGAGCAGGAGUCCGAUGAACUCUUGGUCGUUGGUUCGAAUCCAACCGGGGGUA